AUGGAGCCCUGCAGCUCCCGAGGCUUGGCUAUCAGGGGUUAGCAUUAGCCUGCUAGCGCGAGCCUGAGCUUCCUCGCACCAAGUCGAUCUGUCAAAGCUAACAAACUUACAGCUGGACAGUUUCAGCACGUCAUGACUUGAGCGCGUCAGAGGCACAAACUCGGCACCGAAACGCUUAGCUCGGCGAACGCGCAUGUGCGCUGCUGUCAAAGCGAGCUAUUAAUACUGCAUUUUGUAGUAAUAUUUCUGACAGUUACUUUGCUGAGCUCUGACAGACCCUGAAUGGUGGAGGAGCUCUCACUCAACUCAAUCACAGACAGUUUGGAGCACGCACUCCCCGACAGUUUGUCAGCUAAACAACACCGCCGCCGAGGCGCCAACUUACUCUCAACAAAACGUAAUUUAGUCGCACUGACGAAGGAAGACCAAGGUUCGCACAAAAAGCAGGCGAAAAACGAAAGAACGAGAUAUGGUGACGUCGCUGUCGGAAAGUUUCGGCUCACGUCGGUCAUUUCCGGCGGAUCAAGCGGUCGAGCGACAAAUGGGGGAGCUGCUGGGGAGUUGAAAAGUUCAACACUGUUUUCAAUGGAACUACAUGGGAAAAAGAGCUAAAGUAAAAAAAAAAUGAAGAUAGCCAGCGUGCCACUGACUCCGUCAGUGUCCGUGGCGUCCUUGACGUUCUGCAGACCCUUCGCCCAGGCAGAUGAGCAGACCAACCACAGGAAGGCCAGGACUGCCGUCAUGAUGAAGUC